rnacentral:rRNA from 1 species
CGUGCCUAAUACAUGCAAGUCGAACGAAUCUCUUUUAGAGAUGAGUGGCGAACGGGUGAGUAAUACAUAGGUAACCUGCCCCUGUGCGGGGGAUAACAGGAGGAAACUCCUGCUAAUACCGCAUAGCCAUGAGCACCGCAUGGAGCUCAUGCCAAAUAUCCUUUAUGGGAUAGCGCAGGGAUGGACCUAUGGCGCAUUAGCUGGUUGGCGGGGCAACGGCCCACCAAGGCAACGAUGCGUAGCCGGCCUGAGAGGGCGGACGGCCACAUUGGGACUGUGACACGGCCCAGACUCCUACGGGAGGCAGCAGUAGGGAAUUUUCGGCAAUGGGGGAAACCCUGACCGAGCAACGCCGCGUGAGCGAAGAAGGCCUUCGGGUCGUAAAGCUCUGUUGUAAAGGAAGAACGGCGCAUACAGGAAAUGGUAUGCGAGUGACGGUACUUUACCAGAAAGCCACGGCUAACUACGUGCCAGCAGCCGCGGUAAUACGUAGGUGGCGAGCGUUAUCCGGAAUCAUUGGGCGUAAAGAGGGAGCAGGCGGCCGCAAGGGUCUGUGGUGAAAGCCCGAAGCUAAACUUCGGUAAGCCAUGGAAACCGGGCGGCUAGAGUGCGGAAGAGGAUCGUGGAAUUCCAUGUGUAGCGGUGAAAUGCGUAGAUAUAUGGAGGAACACCAGUGGCGAAGGCGACGGUCUGGGCCGCAACUGACGCUCAUUCCCGAAAGCGUGGGGAGCAAAUAGGAUUAGAUACCCUAGUAGUCCACGCCGUAAACGAUGGUCACUAAGUGUCGGGGGUCAAACCCCGGUGCUGCAGUCAACGCAAUAAGUGACCCGCCUGAGUAGUACGUUCGCAAG